CCUACGGUGGGCAGCAGUGAGGAAUAUUGGUCAAUGGCCGGAAGGCUGAACCAGCCAUGCCGCGUGAAGGUCAGUGCCCUAUGGGCGUUAAACUUCUUUUGUGCGGGAGCAAUAAUGGUCACGUGUGGCCAGACGAGAGUACCGUACGAAUAAGCAUCGGCUAACUCCGUGCCAGCAGCCGCGGUAAUACGGGGGAUGCAAGCGUUAUCCGGAUUUAUUGGGUUUAAAGGGUGCGUAGGCGGGCUGUUAAGUCAGCGGUAAAAGCCCGGGGCUCAACCCCGGCGAGCCGUUGAAACUGGCUGUCUUGAGAUGUCGAGAGGUAUGCGGAAUUCGUGGUGUAGCGGUGAAAUGCUUAGAUAUCACGAAGAACUCCGAUUGCGAAGGCAGCUUACUAAACUGCCACUGACAUUGAUGCUCGAAAGUGUGGGUAUCAAACAGGAUUAGAUACCCGAGUAGUC
rnacentral:rRNA from 1 species